GAGCAGUCAGUGCUCUUAACCCCUGAGCCAUCUCUCCAGCCCUAAAUUUUAUUUUUUUAAGUACUUAUUUUUAUUUUAUGUGAAUGGGUGUUUUGCCUGCACGUAUGCAUAUGCAAUAUGGACAUGCCUGGUGCUCACAGAGGCCAGAAGAAGGCUCCCUAUUCUCUGGAACUGAAGUGACAGGUGGUCGUUGAGUGUUGGUGUUCUGUCUAAGCUCCGCCCCCACAGCUACCUGGCAUCAGCCAGGUAGGUAUGCUCCGCCCCACAGUUGCCUGGCAACAGCCAGCUGUGCCUGACACUAUAAAAGGAGCUGCUUGGCCCCUCCUCCCUCCCUUCUCCCCUCGUGCUCUUUGCUCUUCUCUGUUCUUGCCCCUAUCCCCCCUCCACGUUCCCAUGGCCGCCGCCUUCCCUCUCUUCGACUCUUCUCUCAUUAAAACCCCUCCACGUGGCACCAUGUUUGGGUGUCUUCUGUUGGGGCACACGGGCCGAGAUCUAAAUCCUAACAGUGAGCUGCCACGCGGUGCUGGGAAUUGAACCCUAGUCCUUUGGUGUUAACCACGAAGCCCCCUCCGCAGCUCCACUGAAGAGCUUUGAGGCAAUGGGAAGCACAGAGACCACCAUCCUGAGAGACAUCGAACCAAGAAGCAUGGAUCUCCAGAAGUUCUCAUUGUGGAAAAAAUACGGCACCUCCACCCCCUUCACAGAGUGGUUGACUCAUAGAUCCAUCCGUUUUCCUGGAACUUUAAAAAUAGAACCAUCAUAUGACCCAGAUAUUCCACUCCCCGGCAUGUACCCAGAGGACUCCAUACCCUGCCACCGGGAUGCUUUGCUGCUCUCUCUAUUCACAGAAGUUGGGGAAUAGAAGCAACCCAGAUGCUCAACAACCGACGAAUUGAAAGUGAGAUGUAGCGUGUGUGUACACAUGCGCGCGCAAGCACACGCACACACUCAUACACAUGGGAUUUUAUGCAGUAGCAGAGGUCUCACUGGUGUUUCCAGUGUGGGUCUGUAACAGAAUUGAAAAAGUUAAGGAAGGAGAAACAACCAUUACACUUACUAACACCUCCAGAAGCCUGAAUGACAGAAGUACCUUUCCAAGCAUAGCCUCUGAGAGCCGAACAGAGCGGCCUCUUUCCAUCAGCCUCAAACCUUUGCCUUGUCUCAGUAUCCACAGCUGCAGUCCCCACGUGAAGGCUGGUGUCCCCACAUUGUCCCGUGGUCUCAUUGCCUGGUCUGGGUGUGUGCGUGCGUCUUCUCAGCACACAAGUUACUCCCAUGCAGGGAGGGAGGCUCCAAAUACAGCCAUGCUCCCUAAA